rnacentral:rRNA from 1 species
AAUGAACGCUGGCGGCAGGCCUAACACAUGCAAGUCGAGCGGAGCGGCGGACGGGCGAGUAAGGCCUACGAAUCUGCCUGGUCGUGGGGGAUAAGGUACGGACACGGGCGCUAAUAUCGUAUCCUAGAUGAUGAGACUUGUUCGUAUUAGCUAGUGGGGGGGGUAAAGGCCUACUAAGGCGACGAUCCGUAACUGGUCUGAGAGGAUGAUCAGUCACACUGGAACUGAGACACGGUCCAGACUCCUACGGGAGGCAGCAGUGGGGAAUAUUGGACAAUGGGCGAAAGCCUGAUCCAGCCAUGCCGCGUGUGUGAAGAAGGUCUUCGGAUUGUAAAGCACUUUAAGUUGGGAAGCGUUACCAACAGAAUAAGCACCGGCUAACUUCGUGCCAGCAGCCGCGGUAAUAC